rnacentral:piRNA from 1 species
UGUAACGCACAUACUAAAGAAUGCUUCCAGA